CCUGAUUUUGGCCUACUCUGAACUGUUAUACACUUAUCGUUUAGCUGUCAUUUGUGUCUGCUACACGCAAUUUCGUUGGUGUUAGUGAGAUCGUGCGAGGAGAGAAGAACGUGCAUCUUCGAUUUUCAAAACAAUCCUAUUUCAACGGUCGCAAGAGGUUGCAAGAUUUUUGUUUUCUGUCGAUUGUUCCGCGGUGAAUAAUUACGGUGAAAAAUUGAGAACGAUAACGUGCUAGGAGUGGCCAAGAACGCAGGAAAUCAAGAAGGUCAACCAACUAACCACCCGGACACGAACAAGGGCGAUCCGGAUUCGAGCCGAAAGUUUCAGGAAGUUUUCGAGACAAUUGGAAAACCUGCGGAAGAAUUGACCAGUCAUCCAAAUCCAGCGGUGAAAGGAAGGCUGCAACGAAUCAGGUGAUUCCGUCGAUCGGCAUUUGAUUACUCGCCCAGCGGAAGUGCGGAAGUACAAGCAAUCUAUCGGUCGGAAGUUCUGCGGUUUUAUCGGGGCUACUGAGAGAGGCAACAAAAACGGAGAUAAUACGGAGAUGCCACAGACGGUAGCUGGAAGUGCGAAAAGUUGGUGAUGGUGGCCAAACGGCCACAAAAUACGAGAGCAGACUAUUCUACGUGCAACAACAUGGAAUUACUCCCGGAGAGGGAUCGAGCAAUUUCAAGAUGCGAAAAGCAGAAAUCCAAGGACAAACACAGUGGAGUGUGCUUGUGCAUCUGCUAUACCGAUUCGGUCCAGAUCUAACUGAUUCGACCACCCCCAUUCGCCAUCCGUUGUUAAUCGUUUUAUGACGACUUUGACUUUCGCUGCUAUAUCGGGUUUGUAUUUCCUCGAAGUUUAUACUUCCUUAUUUAGAGUUCCUUCGGGAAUAUCUGUAGUAGUUUCCACGGAAAUUCCUGCAAGAAUAUCUUCAAUUCCUUCAGUUGUUUCUUCGGCAAUGCCUUCGUGAUUUCCAUCUGAAAUUCCUUCAGGAGUUUCUUUGGGAAUUUUUCCAGAACUUCUUCGAGGAUUCGUCCAAGGGUUCUUUCAAUAAUAAUUAUUAUUCCAGCAGUUCCUUGGGAAAAGCACCAGAAGAUUUUUCAGGACAUAUUUUUUGUAAUUAUACAGGAGUUCCUUAUGCGCAUCUACCAAGAGUUCAUUCUGACUUACUUCAGGAUUAUCUUAGAAAAUUUGUCAAAUAGUUUCUUCGAAAAUCGUUCCAGUAGUUUCUUCGGGAAUUCCUACAGGAAUUUCUUCGGGAAGUUCUCAAAGAUUUUUUUCGGGAAUUGCUAGAGAAGUUCUUUUGAAUAUGGAUUUUAUUUUAAAAUUUAUCCAGGAGUUACCUUGGAAAUUCCUCCUGGAGUUCAUCGGGAAUACUUCCAGGAAUUUCUCAGGGGCUUCCUGUAACAGUUUGUUCGGAAAUUUUACCAGCAGUUCCUUCGGGAAUUCUUAGAGGAGCUUCUGCAGGAAUCCUUCAGGAUUUUUUUCGGGAAUGGCUCCAGGAAUGCCCACGGAAAUUUAAAAAAAAAACUACAAUUAUUCCAGGUCUGCGCUCUAAUAGCAAUUUUUCCAUGAAAUCUCCGGGAAUUCCUCCAGGAGCUCUGUGAAACUUCUUCAAGGAGUUCUUCGAUAUUUCUUCGGGUAAGAUUUUCUUAGGGGAUUACUCCAGGAGGUCUUCGAGAAUUCCUUCAGGAAUUUCUUCGGUAACACAUCCAGGAAAUUGAUGUCAUCAAAACUGUACAAAUUCCUACGAGGGAUUCCGACUUUCUUCGGGAAUCUUCAAAUCAAACUCUUCAGAAGUUUCUCCGGGAAUUUCUACAGGAAUUUUGCGAGAAAUCCUACAGGAUUUCUUCCACAAUUUUUCUCGGAGCUUCUGCCAGGAAUUCCCCCAUGAGUUCCAUCAGAAGUUUCUUCACGAGUUUUUUGUUAGGAAAUUCCAAGAGGAAUUCAUUGGGGAGUUUCUUCGAGAAUUUCUUCAGUAGUUCCAUUGGAAAUUUAUUCAGGAGUUUCUUCAGGAACUUCUCCAUGAGUUUUUCUGGAGCUCCACCAAAAGUUUGUUAGGAUUUUUUCGGGGGUACCUUUAAAAAUUUCUCUACUAGUUGCUUCGGAAAUUGCUCAAGGAGUUCUGCGGGAUUUACUCGAGAACUCUGUGGAACUUCGUCAUGAACUCUUCGGGAAUUCUUACAGGAGUCCUUCAAGAAUUCCUACGGGAUUCCCUUGCAAAAUUCUUCGGCAAUUCCUACAGGAGCUCUGCGAAACUUCCUUAGGGAAUUUCUCCAGGAGUUUCUUAAGUAGUUUCUUCGGGAAUUCCUCUGGGAGUUCCUUCAUAAACUCCUCCAGUUUUUUUUUCAGAAUUCCAUCAGCAGUUUCUUGGGAAAUUACCCCAGGAUGUCCUUCAUGAGUUUUUUCCAGAAUUCCUUCACAAGUUCAUUCCGAAUUCUUCCAGGAGUUCCUUCUGAAUUCGGGAAUUUCUCCAGGUGAUCCUAGAGAAUUUCUUCUUUUUCAUGUUUUCUUUGGGAUUUCUUGCAGAAUUUUCUUAGGGAAUAAGUCCAGGAGUUCCUUCCGGAUUUCCCCCAAGGGUUCCUUCCGAAAUUCUUCCAAGAGUUCCUUCCGGAAUUCGGGAAUUUUUCCAGGUGUUCUUAGAAAAUAUCUCCAGGACUUCUUCGGGAUUUCCUACAGGAUUUUCAUAGGGAAUUACUCCAGGAGAUCUUUCUGGUAUUCCUCCAGUUGUUCCUUCAAGAAUAUCUCCAGGAUUUUUUUCGGGAAUUCCUCUAAGAGUUUUUUCCAGAAUUGUUUCAGAAGUUCCUUCCACAAUUUUUCUAGAAGUUCCUUCCGGAAUUCCUUCAGGAGUUGCUUCCGAUAUUCUUUCAGGCGUUCUUUCCGGAAUUCCUUCAGCAGUUCCUUCAAGAGUCCCUCCAUGAGUUCCUUUAGGAAUUGUUCCAAGAGUUCUUCCGGAAUUCCUUCUGGAGUCCCUUCCGGAAUUCCUUCAGGAGUUCCUUCCGGAAUUCCUUCAGGAGUUCCUUCCGGAAUUCUUUCAGAAGUUCCUUC